UCACACAUUCAUCGGGUCCAUCAUCAAUAACAUUUUCAUCUUCAAUUUCAGUCUGUUUGCUAGAUAGUUUAGUGCAAUUCUGUCUCGUAUUUUCCUAAUGUUUCCUGUCCUAUUACUUCUAUUCAUUAACAGUUAACAGUCACUCAGCUUUUAUUUAGUCUAAAUUUAGAAUUACUUUUUAAGUUUAAGUGUGGCUCAAAUACAAAUCAAAAUUGUUUGUAAUUUGAUGUAUUUAUUAUUAUUAUUUUAAUUCAUUUUUUUAUCUUUCGUGAGCAGCUAUAUUCGGCAGCUGAUAUAGUAAAUAAUCAAAUAUACGUCCGGAUAUUAGCUUUGGGUUACACCCUACUACCUAAUUGUGUAUCGUGUCACACUAUCAAAUGGUAAUGUUAGCUAGAAAGCAGCUAACUGGUUAUCAAAUACGUUGUUUUACCUUGAAAUAUGGCUCAAUGUCCCUCUGGAUUUUCACUAUUCGUGCAUCUUUACAGUUGCUGGUCGGUUGGGAGCUGUGAAAUGAGACACGUUUUUCUCUAUGUCGACCAGAAACCUGGGACACAGCAGUACAUUUGAGCUUCAAGUGGCAGCUGUGUGAAUUCGGCCUAUUCCUCACCGACGCAUAAGAAUCACCCAUCUAAAGUCAGAUCCGGUGAAUUCGGGAUAAACCGUCCCAUGAGUCCUGUCAGUAGUUUAUCUCCAUGGGAGAGUUUGGCAUCACUGCUCCACCCAGCCUCCAGAGGAAGGACUUAGUUGUCCUCCAUGAGGGACAUCAUUGCACCACUGAACUACUUCUCAUUGCUAAUCAUAAAGAUUAUAUCACAUGUC